rnacentral:rRNA from 1 species
UACGGAGGGAGCUAGCGUUGUUCGGAAUUACUGGGCGUAAAGCGCACGUAGGCGGCUCUGUAAGUUAGGGGUGAAAGCCUGGAGCUCAACUUCAGAGUUGCCCUUAAGACUGCAUCGCUUGAAUCCAGGAGAGGUGAGUGGAAUUCCGAGUGUAGAGGUGAAAUUCGUAGAUAUUCGGAAGAACACCAGUGGCGAAGGCGGCUCACUGGACUGGUAUUGACGCUGAGGUGCGAAAGCGUGGGGAGCAAACAGG